GGACACAGCUGACACUAAUGGACAUGAUGAGAAGCAGACCUACAAAGUAAAACCGGAAACACACAGACUGUUUUACAACAAAACGCAGGGACCUGAACGGAGCACAUAGGGGAGACACAGGCGCGUGUGUGCUGCUGCUGUCUACACUGACAACUGUUUCUGCAGUGUCUCUGUCUGUCAGUCCAAACCUUCAGCAGUUCUUCACUGGAUCUUCUUCAGUGUCUCUGAGUUGUGUUGAUGAUGGAUGGACAGUGAGGAGGACCAAAGGAGGACUCACUGAGGACUGUGGAGCUGCUGCUACAGACUUUGAGAAGGUUAACAGUUCCUUCUGUCGUCUGUAUCUCUCCAUCUCCUCUAAUGAAAGUUACUUCUUUGAGGACUCAUCUGGACAGCAGAGUGAU